rnacentral:rRNA from 1 species
CGUCCGAUCACCGAAGUUAAGCAACGUCGGGCCCGGUUAGUACUUGGAUGGGUGACCGCCUGGGAAUACCGGGUGCAGUAGACU